GACGAACGCUGGCGGCGUGCUUAACACAUGCAAGUCGAACGGUAAGGCCCUUCGGGGUACACGAGUGGCGAACGGGUGAGUAACACGUGGGUGAUCUGCCCUGCACUUCGGGAUAAGCCUGGGAAACUGGGUCUAAUACCGGAUAGGACUCCGGACUGCAUGGUCUGGGGUGGAAAGCUUUUGCGGUGUGGGAUGGGCCCGCGGCCUAUCAGCUUGUUGGGGGGGUGAUGGCCUACCAAGGCGACGACGGGUAGCCGGCCUGAGAGGGUGACCGGCCACACUGGGACUGAGAUACGGCCCAGACGCCUACGGGAGGCAGCAGUGGGGAAUAUUGCACAAUGGGCGCAAGCCUGAUGCAGCGACGCCGCGUGAGGGAUGACGGCCUUCGGGUUGUAAACCUCUUUCAGCAUCGACGAAGCGAAAGUGACGGUAGGUGCAGAAGAAGGACCGGCCAACUACGUGCCAGCCGCCGCAGUAA
rnacentral:rRNA from 1 species